rnacentral:rRNA from 1 species
CAAGUCGAACGGGCCGCAAGGCCAGUGGCGCAAGGGUGAGUAAGGCGAAGGUAACCAACCCCGAGGUUGGGCAUAGCCGAGGGAAACUUCGGGUAAUUCCCAGCGACGCGGCUUCCCGGCAUCGGGAGGCCGCCAAAGAUUCAUCGCCUCGGGACGGGCCUUUGUGGUAUUAGGUUGUUGGCGGGGUGACGGCCCACCAAGCCUGCGAUGCCUACCGGGCGUGCGAGCGUGGCCCGGCACACUGGGACUGAGACACUGCCCAGACUCCUACGGGAGGCUGCAGUCGAGAAUCUUCGGCAAUGGGCGCAAGCCUGACCGAGCGACGCCGCGUGGAGGAUGAAGGCCUUCGGGUUGUAAACUCCUGUCGAGGGGGAGGAAGGCGCAAGCUUGACCGAUCCCUGGAGGAAGCACGGGCUAAGUUCGUGCCAGCAGCCGCGGUAAGACGAACCGUGCGAACGUUAUUCGGAAUCACUGGGCUUAAAGCGCGUGUAGGCGGGCCGCCACGUCGGCUGCUGAAAUCCCCCGGCUCAACCGGGGAACGGGCACCGAUACGAGCGGCCUUGAGGGGGGUAGGGGGGUCUGGAACUUCCGGUGGAGCGGUGAAAUGCGUUGAGAUCGGAAGGAAC